GACGAACGCUGGCGGCGUGCUUAACACAUGCAAGUCGAACGAAGUGGCGAACGGGUGAGUAACGCGUAAUCAACCUGCCCUUCAGAGGGGGACAACAGUUGGAAACGACUGCUAAUACCGCAUACUGAAGGAGGGGCUUGCGUCUUAUUAGCUAGUUGGAGGGGUAACGGCCCCCCAAGGCGAUGCUAAGGAGCCUGUCUGAGAGGAUGAACGGCCCCAUUGGGACUGAGAAACGGCCCAGACUCCUACGGGAGGCAGCAGGGGGGAAUCUUCCGCAAGGGACGAAAGUCUGACGGAGCAACGCCGCGUGAGUGAUGACGGCCUUCGGUUUGUAAAGCUCUGUUAAUCGGGACGCGGUACCGGAAUAGAAAGCCACGGCUAACUACGUGCCAGCAGCCGCGGUAAUUC
rnacentral:rRNA from 1 species